rnacentral:rRNA from 1 species
AUUGAACGCUGGCGGCAUGCCUUACACAUGCAAGUCGAACGGUAACAGGUCUUCGGAUGCUGACGAGUGGCGAACGGGUGAGUAAUACAUCGGAACGUGCACGAUCGUGGGGGAUAACGGAGCGAAAGCUUUGCUAAUACCUCAUACGAUCUACGGAUGAAAGCAGGGGACCGCAUGGCCUUGCGCGGCAGGAGCGGCAGAUGGCGGAUUAGGUAGUUGGUGGGAUAAAGUCUUACCAAGCAGGCGAUCUGUAGCUGGUCUGAGAGGACGACCAGCCACACUGGGACUGAGACACGGCCCAGACUCCUACGGGAGGCAGCAGUGGGGAAUUUUGGACAAUGGGCGAAAGCCUGAUCCAGCCAUGCCGCGUGCAGGAUGAAGUCCUUCGGGUUGUAAACUGCUUUUGUACGGAACGAAAAGACUCUUUCUAAUAAAGAGGGUCCAUGACGGUACCGUAAGAAUAAGCACCGGCUAACUACGUG